rnacentral:rRNA from 1 species
UACGUAGGCAGCAAGCGUUGUUCGGAUUUACUGGGCGUAAAGAGUGCGUAGGCGGUCCUGUAAGUUUGGUGUGAAAUCUCCCGGCUCAACUGGGAGGGUGCGCCGAAGACUGCAGGGCUUGAGUAUGGGAGAGGUAAGCGGAAUUCCUGGUGUAGCGGUGAAAUGCGUAGAUAUCAGGAGGAACACCAGUGGUGAAGACAGCGUACUGGACCAGAACUGACGCUGAGGCACGAAAGCGUGGGUAGCAAACAGG